rnacentral:rRNA from 1 species
UACGAAGGGGGCUAGCGUUACUCGGAUUGACUGGGCGUAAAGGGCGCGUAGGCGGAUGGUACAGUCAGACGUGAAAUUCCUGGGCUCAACCUGGGGGCUGCGUUUGAUACGUGCUGUCUGGAGUUCGGAAGAGGGUCGUGGAAUUCCCGGUGUAGCGGUGAAAUGCGUAGAUAUCGGGAGGAACAUCAGUGGCGAAGGCGGCUGCCUGGCCCAAUACUGACACUGAGAAGCGAAAGCAUGGGGAGCGAACAGG